AUUGAACGCUGGCGGCAUGCUUUACACAUGCAAGUCGAACGGCAGCACGGGUGCUUGCACCUGGUGGCGAGUGGCGAACGGGUGAGUAAUGCAUCGGAACGUGCCCAUGAGUGGGGGAUAGCCCGGCGAAAGCCGGAUUAAUACCGCAUACGUCCUUAGGGGGAAAGCGGGGGAUCUUCGGACCUCGCGCUAUUGGAGCGGCCGAUGUCGGAUUAGCUAGUAGGUGAGGUAAAGGCUCACCUAGGCGACGAUCCGUAGCUGGUCUGAGAGGAUGAUCAGCCACACUGGGACUGAGACACGGCCCAGACUCCUACGGGAGGCAGCAGUGGGGAAUUUUGGACAAUGGGCGCAAGCCUGAUCCAGCCAUGCCGCGUGAGUGAAGAAGGCCUCGGUU
rnacentral:rRNA from 1 species